GAUGUAUGUGGUCAGACCUAUC
rnacentral:miRNA from 1 species